rnacentral:rRNA from 1 species
GGGAUUGCCUCAGUAACGGCGAGUGAAGCGGCAACAGCUCAAAUUUGAAAUCUGGCCCCUUCGGGGUCCGAGUUGUAAUUUGUAGAGAGUGUUUCGGGUGAGACCACGGUCUAAGUCUAUUGGAACAUUACGUCAUAGAGGGUGAGAACCCCGUAUGCGACCGUGGCUCGAGCCCAUGUGAAGCCUCUUCGACGAGUCGAGUUGUUUGGGAAUGCAGCUCAUAAUGGGUGGUAAAUUUCAUCUAAAGCUAAAUACUGGCUGGAGACCGAUAGCGCACAAGUAGAGUGAUCGAAAGAUGAAAAGCACUUUGGAAAGAGAGUUAAACAGUACGUGAAAUUGUUGAAAGGGAAGCGCUGGCAACCAGACCUGUCCGUAGGCGAUCAGCCGCUGUUCUCAGCGGUGCACUCGCUCUGCGAUCAGGCCAGCAUCGGUUUCGGCGGUCGGAUAAAGGCCCGGGGAACGUAGCUCCCUCUCGGGGGAGUGUUAUAGCUCCGGGCGCAAUGCGGCCAGCCGGGACCGAGGACCGCGCCUUUUGGCUAGGAUGCUGGCGUAAUGGUUGUCAGCGACCCGUCUUGAAACACGGACCAAGGAGUCUAACAUCUAUGCGAGUGUUUGGGUGUUAAACCCAUGCGCGGAAUGAAAGUGAACGGAGGUGAGAACCCUUUAGGGCGCAUCAUCGACCGAUCCAGAUGUCUUCGGAUGGAUUUGAGUAUGAGCAUAGCUGUUGGGACCCGAAAGAUGGUGAACUAUGCCUGAAUAGGGUGAAGCCAGAGGAAACUCUGGUGGAGGCUCGCAGCGGUUCUGACGUGCAAAUCGAUCGUCAAAUUUGGGUAUAGGGGCGAAAGACUAAUCGAACCAUCUAGUAGCUGGUUCCUGCCGAAGU